ACGGGAGGCAGCAGUGAGGAAUAUUGGUCAAUGGGCGAGAGCCUGAACCAGCCAAGUAGCGUGAAGGAAGACUGCCCUAUGGGUUGUAAACUUCUUUUGUGCGGGGGUAAAGUGGUCCACGCGUGGUCCAUUGCAAGUACCGUACGAAUAAGCAUCGGCUAACUCCGUGCCAGCAGCCGCGGUAAUACGGAGGAUGCGAGCGUUAUCCGGAUUUAUUGGGUUUAAAGGGUGCGCAGGCGGCACGUUAAGUCAGCGGUGAAAUGUCGGGGCUCAACCCGGGCACUGCCGUUGAAACUGGCGAGCUUGAGUACGGAUGAAGUCGGCGGAAUGUGAUGUGUAGCGGUGAAAUGCUUAGAUAUGUCACAGAACACCGAUUGCGAAGGCAGCUGACUAAUCCGCAACUGACGCUCAGGCACGAAAGCGUGGGGAUCGAACAGGAUUAGAUACCCUGGUA
rnacentral:rRNA from 1 species